rnacentral:lncRNA from 10 species
CACUGUUCCACAGCAAUAUACUGCUUGGCAUUCUGGCAGGGAACAGAAAGACAAAGCAUCAUGGGAAGAAACGGUUAGAAAAAAAUAACUGAAAGAUGUGGAAAUUUUUAUGCUCAGAGGCUCUUGGCAGUCAAUGAGAAAUAGGAGAUUGGAAUGGAAACUAUAAAGGGGUGCUGGAAAAGGUCAGAGAAAAUCAUCAUCAUAAAGUGAAGUGAUUUUCUUCUUUAUGAGCUCCUGAUGUAAACAGACUGAUGAGCACAACACAAUCCUUACUCACCCACAUGACAUCAUACACAAUCACAGCUAAAUGUUUCUAUCUGUCAAAGCCUGAAGAGUGACUACCAGAUUGUUGCCUGAUUGCUAAGAAUUGAUGCUUGUUCAACUGGGAUCUAUCCAGAGAAACAUAAUCCACUUCAAGAAUUUUCUGAAAAGGGAAUCUAAUGCAAGGAAUUAAUUGCAAAGAUGAUGCAAUAUCUGAGAACGAUAGAUUUGACAGUUUGGUCUACAUUUCAAGGCUGGUUAGAUGGGAGUAAUUGGGUCAGUCAUGCUCUUGAAGGAGGCAUACUGGGAGCCAUACAUUACCAGAGGCAGAGGAUUCAAUGGAUGUUUUCUGUUUUCUCUUCUUCGUGCUCUGUAAUUGAGACACAGAACAAAGAGUACAGCUUCCAUGCAUGGAGGUUAACACAGGUUUCUCUAGCCAAGGAAUUUUUUGAAGCAAAUCAUACUUGCAUAGUCUGUUGCAGCUAAUGUGCCUCCAUUGAUGACGCCACACUACGUUGGCAGGAGGAAGACUAAGUGCUCUGCCUUAACUCAGGCCAGGCUGUGGGCGCAAGUGCACCAACGGCUUUGAGACUAACACACAGCUCAGAACAAGGUAUGAC